UGGUGUCGACUGUGAGACAGAAAUAGAUGAAUGCUCAUCAAACCCAUGUAAAAACGGCGGGAGAUGUGUUAACGAUAUCAACAAAUUUUCUUGUUCCUGUCUCCAAAAUUAUACCGGAAGAUACUGCAAUUGGGACCCACAACAAAAACAAAAGAAUUCAGAGAUAUGGCCAUUGGUGGUUGCCUCCAUUUGUGGAGCGGCAGCACUAGCCGGGGCAACAGCUUGUUGUUGGUGGUGUUUGUGUGGAGCGGCAGCUAAUCGGCGAAAGCGAGAACGGGUCCACCCAAAACCCCGUUCCGUGGAAAAUAAUGGAGUUGCACAUAACAAUGUUACAUCAAUAAGGAAAUAAAUUGAUACUCAAACAACACAGGGAGCCAAGAGUCGAUUUCCCCUGACUGGUACUGAGUAAAUCUGCAUCAAUAAGAAACCCUCUGUUCAUUGGCAUGCAUACUUUAUCUUCUGUUAUAUAUUAUCCUAAAUUUCUAUAUGUACUGAAUGGAUUCAUUUGUCAAGUAGAUAUCUGUGUCGUCAAUAAAUCAUGUUUUUACGU